GGGCUCCCCUCCCGCGAGGACCUGACCCGGGUUAAGACUGCCAGAAGCGGCCCCCGGGGCGGCGAGGAAGGCAGCGCGUCAGUCAGGUGGCCAGGCCGGGCUGGGGGAGCCCCUCCAGCUCCCGGUUCUGCUUCAGUUCCCUCAUCCUGCAGGGAGACGGGGAAGGGGUCAAGACGCCAGCCGAUGGGAACGGGGGCGGUGGGGGUGGCCCAGGACGCGGGUACCUGUGCCGGCAGCGCCGCAGGAAUCUCAUGAUUUUCCGGGCUGCCUGGUCCUGCUUCUUGGUGAGAAAGGAGCCCCUGCUGGAAGGAAGGAGCGAUGAGCAGACGAGGCCCGCGGCGUCCCCGGACCUCCCCGGACCCUGGCAGGGGAAGGCGGGGAGGGGCCUGCGCGGACCUGGCGCGGGCGGGCAGGCUGCCCGCGGGCCGGCGGCGGUAGGAGCGGUAGUGCUGCUGGAUGAGCACGGCCGCCCGACGGCUCUGCUGAAACCGCUUCUGCUCGUAGUAGCUCCGGAACUUGCUCUGGAUCAGGAUGGCCGCCUGGGUCAUCUUUUUGUAUAGCGCAAACUGCGGGGAGGGAGCGGGGACAGGGGCUGAAGUGGGGUGACAAGAGCCCCAGCGCCCUGAGGGUCACCCCCGAGUUCAGCAAGUGCCAGUCACUAAUCCACACGCUCGUGGAGAGGCCGCCUCGCUUCGGACAAGCGCACACCCAGACCUCAUGCCUAAUACCUUGAGCGCGAUCCAGGUCAGCUUGUGGAGAGAGAAGGGGGUUAGGACCCCAGAAGCACUCGGGGUGCUCGGGGCGCUGUGGUGGGGCUGCCUGCGUGGCGGUGGGAGGGGUGCUUUCAGGGGACAAAGUGCUCACCUGUUUGUACUUCCGGUAGCAGCGCUGGAUCACUGCAGCUGCCACCUCCUGCUGCUCCUUCAGCCUCCGGCCCUGUGAGAUCAAAGUCUCAGGCCUCCAGCCUGGAGCCCACGGGGCCCCCUGACUCUGGCUGCUGGCUGCUGUGAUUCAUCUCCCAGGACCCCCCAGGCCUCUGACCUUGUACUUCCGGAAGGCCGUUUGGAUGACGCGAGCCGCCUCGUACAGCUCCCGCUGCUCAUGAUCGGACAGCGUCAGCAGGGCAAAGUCACUCUCCAUUUUGCCGCUGGCAGAAGCCGACAGAAACUCUGCCCAGGAAGGGGCAGGAGGGACGGCCAGGCGACCACGCUCAAAGGGCAGUUCGCUACAGGGACAGAGAGAGGUGUGUCGGGGCACUGGGGCCCACCGUGAAGCGUGUCCCCCCGCAGAGCCUGCGGAGGGGCUCGAAAGCUCCUCACCCAGCACCGGCCCAGGCCUGGGCCAGCACAGAGUCCUGGCUCCGGACAAGGACCUUCCCGCUCCUGGCUCGCCUUGACGAAUUUGGACACGCUGUCCUGAGCUGGUCACCUGGGUGGGGCUGAGCUGGGGAAAUGGUCCACGUUCUCCAGGUAGCUGGCCAGCCAGGACAUGGUCUCACUGAGCCCCAGGGCCCCUGUCCGCUCCCUCAUUGGCGCCCCGGCCUCCGGCAGCACCGAGAAGUCCUCUCGUUUAAUCCGCUCCGGUGUGGCUUCGAUGAUCUGCUUGGCCAGGGAGAUCAUGUCCACCUGCAGCGAGAGAGGCUGGGUGAGUAGGGAGCCACUCCAGCCACCAGAUGUCAGCUACCAAAGCUAUCGCCAUUGUCCCCUCGCUGUCUUGUCGCUCCCCUCACCACCGGACAAAGCUCGGGACCUAAUGUUCUCUGUUUUGAGAUGUCGUGAAAAAUGGGACAGGAAUGACCCCCUCCCAACAGGCUUGCCCUUCCAGGCUGACUGCCCCCUGGACCCCUGCCCCAUGCCCACGGACCAGCACGUGGUCCCCACAGGUUCGGCCCUGCCUAUAGCCCCCAGCCCCAAGCUUGGUGCCUGCCACCUACCAGACACCCGCCGGACAGCUCCAGCCUCGGAGCCGGCAUGUUGCUGACUUUGUGUAAGUGUUUAGUGCUUCUGGUGCUAAUGACCCAGUUAGUCCACUGGCCUCCGACGAGGGUACCCCCCGAGGUUUUAGCAGAGGAGUGUGCUGCUAGGCUCGAAGAUUCACUCCUGCUUCAAGACUUGCUUCAGUUUUACCCUGUGCAAACCUCCCUCCCUCCCUAGACCGCUCCCAGACUCCCUGGCUUGUCAGCCUCUGCUCCACACAGUGCCCACUUCCCUUCAUUAGGCUGGUUCCCCAGAAACCUCAGCUCUCUGGGGGCCAGCAGGUAACCCCUCCGCCAGCUCCAGCCAAGGCUGUGCUCUAGAAUUUUCGACUUCUGAUGCCUCAUGACUUUUGGAGUCACAAGCGUACACGGCCCCUUCCUCCCAAACCGAAGCCGGACUCCGAUUCUGCCUCAGGAUGAUCAGUAUCCGCACAGCCCUGCACCCCCACCCUGCACAGCUUCUAGCCUUUACAAUUUGUCAGCACGAGCAGGAUCGGUAUACCGGGAUCACGUCCACGGCCGUUCUUCCAGGCAGCGGGCGAGGCGCACGUGGCCCCGGGACUGCGCCACGGACAGGGGCAGGCGGCCCAGAGAGUCAGGGAUGCCCAGCGCCUGUCUGUUCCAGCGGAAGAGGAGCACAGCGGCCUCCAGGUGUCCCAGAGCACAGGCCCACAUCUGAGGCGGGGAGCAUGGACAUGAGGCCCGGGCUGCCCAUUCCCAGCCUCACCUGCCCCUUCCCUGUGACCCCCCGCAUGCUCACCAGGGGGGUGCAAGAGAAGUGGUCCACGUUGAGUGGGUCAGCCUCUUGCUCUAAGUCCAGGCUCCCUGUCCCCACGCUCCUGGAGGGUUUGGGACAGGGACAGGAGCCCAGUCAGGGUAAAAGCAGGCAAAGCAGGAGCAUCAGGAUCAAGGGGAUGGGGUGGGGGAGGCGGGGGGACAAGCUGUCUAGAAGCACUAAGAUCUGUGCAGCAAGCAGUCGGAAACACAUGACGUGAGGGGGUGGAAAGUCUAUCCCGAGUGCAAAUCCUCUUCCUGCCCCCUUCCCUCCUGGCAGGACCCCGGGUCCUCCGGCUCCUCCUCCAGCCCCUGGCAUUUCUGUCCCAGCCCCCUCUGCACAGCCUGCUCACCGCCACUGGCUCAGGGUCUCGAUGAGGCGGGCGUAGCCCUGGGCAGCAGCCAGGUGCAGGAGGCUCAUGCCCCGGAAGGGGCUCCCGUGCGCCAGACGUCCGGCGCCCCUCCAGGUAGAGCGAGGGAUCAUGCUCUCUACCAAAACCACCACUCGGGCCUCAAACCCGGGCCCCUGGCCUUCGUCCUGCGGCACAGACACCCUCCUGUAGGGACCCAAGCAUCGGGCCCCCUGGCUCGGGAGGGCCCCGGCCGCCCACCUGUCCUCUCCACUUCUUGUCCCACCCUCCCCACACCAGCUCUCCGCCACCCAGAGCUCUCGGGGCCAUCGUGCUGCUCGCUCCAGGUCGUGGGUGUCCCCCACCCCAGCCAGCUUCCUCGGGCUCCAAACGGCUCCAAACGGCUUCUCCGUCUCAGAGCCCAGAGUCCUCUCCCCGUCCGCUUCCUCAGAGACUCGGGCUCCCAUUCUCUUGGUCCCCUCCCCCACCCCCUUCAGAUCAGAAAUAGUCCAAAGCCCGUCAUGCCAAGAGGGUGCCCAGAAUAGCCGCUUCUGCCCUGUAGUGGAGCUGGAGCGGGGUGACGUCAGGGGGGAGGAGGCUGGGGACGGGAGAGCCCCACACCGCAGCCAUCUUCUCCAGGAAGACCCCCGAGCUCCUUCCUCGCGCAGGUACCUGAAUCGGAGGCACAGCAGGACCACGGCAGGGAGCCUGCCCGGCUGCUGCCAUGUCGGCCAUCCGCUUCUCCAUCUGCUCCAGGCGCUCCAGAAUGGACAUCCGGAACUGGCUGUCUGAGGGGGAAGAGGUACGGGAGGCUGAGCGGCGGCCAGCGUCCGGGCGUGCCCUGAACGCCACAGCUGGACCUGGCCCAGGGUCCCCGUUCUUUCCUCUCCCCCAGAACAGCACCCCUUUGCCCUCACCCUAAAUACGGCCCAUCAGGACGCAGGCCUUAACCUGGGGCUUUUAACGCUCUGCACCGACCUAGGACCAGACUCUGGGACCAGAACUGUGUCCUUCGAGACACAGACAUGGGAGGAAUUCCCCAGCCGCUGGAGGCCUGAGCUGGCCCCAGCCUUCCAGAUACACUACUCCGUCAGCUCGCCUGGCCCCAGACGCUACCUCUGUCCCCCAGGCCGGAGCUGAAGGACACCAGGGCCCCUCUUCUCUCCUGUCCACUGCCCAGCAGAGCGUGGGGGCUGUGAUUUAAAAAGCACCACCCCCUCCUCCUGGGCCCCCGCAGCUGUCCACAAAGAGGGUGGCAGGACUGGAAGGUGACAGAGACGGAUGGCCACGUCCAUUCCUCCUCUUCCUCCCCCACCCUAUGCACAAAAGCGCACACACCCCAAGCUAUAUCUGUCCCCUCCUGAGAUCACCCAAGGACAAGGAGGGGAAGCGGGAAGGGAUCAGGGCCGUGGGAAAACUGGCUCAGAGACACAGUGGAGGUCGUGGAGGUCCUGCCUGAGACGCCUGGACAGAAGCGGGAUGAAGGAAGAGGUGUUGAGGGGAAGAGUGGAGAAUGAGCAGAAAGACAACAGGGGAAAAGGGUAAGCCAGGUGAAGGAGAGGAGAGGAAGGGCAGGAGAGCGGAGGGGUGCACCAAACAGCAACAAGGAAGGGAAGACGAGGGGCAAGUCAGGACACUGGUCCAAGGAGCAGGGGGAGGGUGGAGGCCACACAGGCCACGGAGCAGCCAGGUGAGCAGGGUGGCCUGUGGGGGGACCACCCCCAUGAGGGAGGCAGAUGGGGGUUGGGAGCGAGGGCGCAGAGGGAAGGAAGUCUGGGUGUGGGAGCAGGGGCAACAGCAAGACCAGAGAAGCAGGUGCUGUGGGGAAAGAGCUGGAAGCCACAGGGAUGAUCAGUAAAGGAGCACACGUGGUCCUAGACAGAUAUACAUGCGUGUGGGUGUGCGUCUCUGCGUAAGAAAGUGUAUUAAAGGCGAGUAUCACUGAG